UGGAGCAGCAGGGGGCGUUUCUUCGCCUCGGUGACCGGGACCCGUCCUGCCGCUCGCAUGCACGUCCUGUUCCGGCAUCUCUGAGUCUCCAAGCGGACCCCGACGGCCGCAUGGGGCCGGCGGGCCCACCAUCGAGGACUGGCAGCGGUGGGCGGACGGGCUCCAGGAUGCCACACCGGUGCCGGUGCUGGCGGAGGCACCCGACCCUGAAGCCCAGGCGCCGGACCAACUGGCUAGGUACGCCAGGACUCUCUCCAACAACACUGGGCCGGACUUGCUGCCGGGGGAGCUGUUAAAAUAUGCCCCUCCUAGCCUCUCUCAGCUGUUGGCUGCGGUAAUCGGCCCAGCCUGAGAGGCGGGUGAGUUCCCCACGGAGUGGGUCACAUCGGUCCAGCAGCCCAUUCCCAAGGUGCCGCGUACGCUGGCGGAAUACCGCAGGCUCACCUUGUGGAACGUCAUCUACAAGCUGCUGGCCAAACACCUCCUGAUGCCCCUCUACGCGGUGCCCCCGCCCAUGCCUUGGUACCAGGCUGGGUUCCAGCCGCAGAGAGGGACCUACGACCAUAUCGUGCUGCUCAGGAAGGUGCGCUUGAGGGCGGGCGACACGGUCCACGUCUUGGGCCUGGACAUCAAGUCGGCGUUCCCGUCGACGGGAGCUGGCGGCGGUGCUGCUGGCCGACGGCGUCUCUCCGUUCCUGCUCAACGGCGUCACCGCGCUGGCGCUGACGGGCUUCACUUCCAUCAGGUGGUUCGCGGCCCGCACGGCACGGGGAAGCAGGGCUGCUCCCUCGCGCCGUUCCUCUUCACGCGCGCCCUCCACUGGGCCAUCAAGGCAGCGGUGCAGCACCUCCCCGGCUUCAGCCUUGACGUGGACUCCAUCGACUUCUCCCCGCUCCUCCUGGCCUAUGCUGAUGAUCUCCUGGUGGCGUCGAUCGACGUCGGGGUCGGGGACCUGCACGCGUUCCUGGACAGCUGCGCGGUGCCGGCGAUCGGGUUGGUCUAAAACUUCCAUAAGUGUGAAUACUUAAUCAAGACUCCGUUACCGCAGGAUUUCCGCCCCCUCCCGUGCCCCGCCCUCAUUGCCGGCAGGGCCGUUCCUCAAGUGGCCAAGCUCCUCUACCCGGGAGCCCUCAUCACGGCGAGCCUGGAUCGCCGCAGCACGGCGUACCAGCGCAUCACCACCACCAGGCGCUCGGUAACAGCGCUCCAGCCGCUGAUCUACCGGCACCCGCUCCCGUCCAAGGUCGUGGCGAGGAUCUGGACGUGCGCCUGCGCUAAGCUACGCCCACCACCACCACCCGCAGGUCUUGCUGCACACCUCUCCCUCUGCUGACCGCCGGCCAAGUGACCGAGACGCCGCGCGGCUCGCUCCGCCUCCACCUCUCUCUCUCGCUCAGCUGGUUCGGUCCGCGGCUCGGUUGUGUCAGAGCUGAACUGAACACCGACCAGGGCGAACUAUCAGCCUCACCUACCAUCUUUCUAUCCCCGGGUCUUGAAGGGUCUUGUACGUCUUGGACGUCUUUACCAUGACUGGUUUUACCUGAGUUUUGCAAUGCAAGUAAUUCUAUCGUAUCGUGCCGACAUGUCGCCCUCUGACCUCAAGCUCACCGCAUCGUUUCGUCCUGCUCUCGGAGUGUAUCGUUCUUGUAUACGUCUCGGUUUACACCUUUAGCUUUGGUUUACCGGUUUUUAUGUAUGUAUCGUUUGGCCGUGGUGCCGUUGUUCUGGACCUCCUGGAGUUAGGUUAUGAAGUGCCUUUUGAUUGUUUUUCUGUCAGCCAGUCUAAAUAAACUGUGAUAUUGUUAA